AGUGAACGCUGGCGGCAGGCCUAACACAUGCCAGUCGAACGGCAGCACAAGAGAGCUUGCUCUCUGGGUGGCGAGUGGCGGACGGGUGAGGAAUGCAUCGGAAUCUGCCCAUUUGUGGGGGAUAACCUCGGGAAACCGGGACUAAUACCGCAUACGACCUACGGGUGAAAGCAGGGGAUCUUCGGACCUUGCGCAGAUGGAUGAGCCGAUGCCGGAUUAGCUAGUUGGAGGGGUAAAGGCCCACCAAGGCGACGAUCCGUAGCUGGUCUGAGAGGAUGAUCAGCCACACUGGGACUGAGACGCGGCCCAGACUCCUACGGGAGGCAGCAGUGGGGAAUAUUGGACAAUGGGCGCAAGCCUGAUCCAGCCAUGCCGCGUGUGUGAAGAAGGCCUUCGGGUUGUAAAGCACUUUUGUUGGGAAAGAAAAGCAGCCGGUUAAUACCCGGUUGUCAUGACGGUACCCAAAGAAUAAGCACCGGCUAACUUCGUG
rnacentral:rRNA from 1 species